rnacentral:rRNA from 1 species
UACGAAGGGUGCAAACGUUGCUCGGAAUUAUUGGGCGUAAAGCGCACGUAGGCGGCUUUUCAAGUCCCAUGUGAAAGCCCCCGGCUCAACCGGGGAGAGUCGUCGGGGACGGGUGAGCUUGAGGGUAUCAGGGGCUGGUGGAAUUCCCGGUGUAGUGGUGAAAUGCGUAGAUAUCGGGAGGAACACCCGUGGCGAAGGCGGCCAGCUGGGAUACACCUGACGCUGAGACACGAAGGCGUGGGGAGCGAACGGG